rnacentral:lncRNA from 1 species
CUAUUGAGGAGCAGACCUGGUGUGUCUGCCUUAUGUGAUCAAUACAGAGAAGUAGAAGGUGCCUGCUGGGGAAACAUGCCCACUUCAGGAGGAAGAAAGACCACACAUAGAAAACACUGAAAAGUUGCUGGGCACUGUGGCUCACGCCUAUAAUCCCAACAGGGGAUUUGGGAGGCUGAGCUGGGUAGAUCUCUUGAGGCCAGGAGUUUGAGACCAGCCUGGCCAACAUGGUGAAACCCCGCCUCUACUAAAAAUACAAAAAUUAACUGGGUGUGGUGGUGCAUGCCUGUAAUCCAAGCUACUUAUGAGGCUGAGGGACAAGAAUCACUUGAACCCAGGAGGUCAAGUUUGCUGUGAGCCAAGAUCAUGCCACUGCACUCCAGCUUGGAAACAGAGUGAGACUCUACCUUAAAAAAAAAAAGAAAAAAAAAAAAAAGAAAAAAAAGAAAAGAAAAAGAAAAAGAAAAGAAAAGAAAAGAAGAGAAAAGAAAAGAAAAGAAAAGAAAACACUGAAAAGAUCUGCUUAGGCAUCUCCUCCACCAGACUAUCAGCAACCAUGACAGGAACCAGGACCUAGGCAUAGCUCUUCUCAAUGCUUUCCUGAGUAUCCACUGCACAACAGGGCUUCUGAAAAUGGUUUGAAAUGAACUGAACUACAGAAGAUCAAAGUCAGAACUUCAAAAGGAGAGAGUUAACCAAAGAAAGGUAUUUGACUGGAAGCAUUUCAUCUCAAUGUUCAUUUAGUUAAUUUCUACCAGAUAUUCAACACUGCAUUGGACCCUGGAAGGGAGAUGAAACAUUGGAUAUUGUAUAAAGAGAAGAAAGACAAGUGAUAUUUGGAGAGUUUGGGAUGAAAAGAAGAGAAGGGAGUGAACCAAAAUUCACUGACCUAUGUGUCAUACUAGGGGUGGUGCAUUUUAUAUUGAAUAUUUCAUGUAAUCCUUAUAAUGCCCAUACUAAGCAUGUACCACUAUUCUCAUUUUACUAACAAGGAACCUGAGACUCAGUGAGAUUAAAUAACUUGCUCAAGGCAAUAAGGCUAACAGGGAACAGAUUCGAGCUUUGAUAUGAGACUACAAAGUCCAUAGAUCUCUCCACUCAACCACACUUGCUUCUGAAACAUUCUACAAACUGAUCCCUGAAGUAGAGCAUUCUAUACAUCCCAAUCAUCAACUCCAAUUUAAUAACAGGUACCGCAAAACCACAGAAACAUCAAGAACAGUUGUUCCAAUGUAUUCACCACUGGAGGUUGAGACUUGAGCCAUGAAUGGAAUUAAACUGUAUCAUUAGAAACAGAGACUGGGCAAGUGAGUUUAAGACUCCCUGUCUCAUGCUUUA